rnacentral:rRNA from 1 species
CCUACGGGCGGCAGUGGGGAAUAUUGGACAAUGGGCGAAAGCCUGAUCCAGCCAUGCCGCGUGUGUGAAGAAGGCCUUCGGGUUGUAAAGCACUUUCAGUGGGGAAGAAAGCCUUGGGGCUAAUACCCUCGAGGAAGGACAUCACCCACAGAAGAAGCACCGGCUAACUCCGUGCCAGCAGCCGCGGUAAUACGGAGGGUGCGAGCGUUAAUCGGAAUUACUGGGCGUAAAGCGCGCGUAGGCGGUCUGAUAAGCCGGUUGUGAAAGCCCCGGGCUCAACCUGGGAACGGCAUCCGGAACUGUCAGGCUAGAGUGCAGGAGAGGAAGGUAGAAUUCCCGGUGUAGCGGUGAAAUGCGUAGAGAUCGGGAGGAAUACCAGUGGCGAAGGCGGCCUUCUGGACUGACACUGACGCUGAGGUGCGAAAGCGUGGGUAGCAAACAGGAUUAGAUACCCCGGUAGUC